rnacentral:misc_RNA from 1 species
AUUGGUGAGGCGAAUUUUCAUGGGGUUUGCAGUUUGAAAAAAUUCUUCGUUGAGGAUAGAUCGCUAUUUUUUAGGAGUAAUUUUAAAUUCGAACGAGUUCAACGAUUUUUUCGUGAACAGAACAAAACAAAUCGAUCAAAAUGUUCAAGAGCCAUUUGGAAAUGAUUGGGCGCAACGAGAGCCCCAGCAAGAAGGCCAAGUUCUGGCAAUCCUACAUCAGGUCCCUGAAGGGCUCUGAGGAUAUCCGCGCCCACGAGGCGCCAAGGGCUUCUCGUCCCUACAGCUCCUACCUGGAGUCGCCCACAUACAGGAGCAUCUAUGACGAGCCCUCCACCGCCAACGAGCGUGUCCAGUCCUCUGGCUACAGAUAUCUGCCAGUGAGCCGUGACACCUACGGCUACUCGCCACGUGCCAUCUACGAUCAUCACUACAGCCGAACAAAGAAGGCCUGGAAUGAUCAUCUGAAGCGCAUGCAGGAGAUCGAGCGCAGGUACCCAUCUCGCUAUGGUCUGUACUUGAAGGACAAGCCACUCACCCCCAACGCUCUGGUGCCCCUGGAGUACGAGCCAGAGGACAAGCUUCUGGCGGAGCUCAACAAGGCUCGUCGCUCGGCCUCUCCGUUCCGCCCCAGCCGCACCACCCGCGCUGGCAGCGAGCCGUACGUGCCCCCACCAACCUAUUGGGGCCGCGAGGGCAGCGUGCCCCGCGGACCAUCGGUCUUCGACCGUGCCACCAGCUUGGCUCCGUUCACGCGUCCCAGCUUCCGCGCCAGCUCGCUGGAACCCCUGGAUGAACUCUUUGAAAGACUUCCGAUCUUCCACCCACGCAACCGCUUCAGGGAUCUGCUGAGCCCCAGCCCCAACUUGCCGGUCUCCUCGAUCGUGCGCGAUCCCUUCUGGUGGGACGUGGAUGACCUGGUGCCCUUCCGUGCCACCUCGGUGCCCCGUGCCUCGAGCCCCGUGGCCCGUGAUUCGUACUUGUCGCCGGUGAAGAAUCGCUACUUGUGGUCCAAGCACCCCGCCAGACCCUUGACACCUGAGGAAGAGGAUUUUUUCUAAAAUAAAUCUCUAGAUACAAAAUCACAAAUCGUUUAGCUAUAAUAACAAAGCGACGCUAUAUCAAUCAUAUAGCAAUUCUGUAAUUUUUUUGUACUUAAUUUUACAUAAAUUACAUGUAACGAACUGUAAAAAAAAGCAAAUUGCUCACCGCUCAAUUUUGUAAACGAACGAAACAACGAACUUUUCAACAACAAGAACAUCC